rnacentral:tRNA from 6 species
GGGUGAUUAGCUCAGCUGGGAGAGCACCUCCCUUACAAGGAGGGGGUCGGCGGUUCGAUCCCGUUAUCACCCACCA